CGCACCCCCGCCGUGCGUGCCCGCUAACCCCUUCAGCCCCGCCGCUGCUGGUUUCCCGGACUACUGGGAAGCCUCACGUUUAACUGCCCUUAGGGUUGCUCCGCUCAAGCUGCCUAAUCUUACAGAAGAGAAAACCGAGCCUCGAAGAAUUGAGUUGCUAGAGCCCAACGCAUUCACCUGGCUUCUCCAUUCUCUCCAGUGGGCAGAAACAGAAUUGUUCAAAUGAAGAUCCCUCUAAUUGCAAAACUCAGGCACUUUCCACUUCGUGGCUGGAGCCCGGAGACCAAAUUCCAGUGUGGUCUCUGCCACCUGGACUAUGCAACACUGAUACCAGGAAUUGAACUCAGGAC
ensembl:lncRNA